rnacentral:rRNA from 1 species
UAUAAGACUGGGAUAACUUCGGGAAACCGGAGCUAAUACCGGAUAACAUUUGGAACCGCAUGGUUCUAAAGUGAAAGAUGGUUUUGCUAUCACUUAUAGAUGGACCCGCGCCGUAUUAGCUAGUUGGUAAGGUAACGGCUUACCAAGGCGACGAUACGUAGCCGACCUGAGAGGGUGAUCGGCCACACUGGAACUGAGACACGGUCCAGACUCCUACGGGAGGCAGCAGUAGGGAAUCUUCCGCAAUGGGCGAAAGCCUGACGGAGCAACGCCGCGUGAGUGAUGAAGGGUUUCGGCUCGUAAAACUCUGUUAUUAGGGAAGAACAAAUGUGUAAGUAACUGUGCACAUCUUGACGGUACCUAAUCAGAAAGCCACGGCUAACUACGUGCCAGCAGCCGCGGUAAUACGUAGGUGGCAAGCGUUAUCCGGAAUUAUUGGGCGUAAAGCGCGCGUAGGCGGUUUCUUAAGUCUGAUGUGAAAGCCCACGGCUCAACCGUGGAGGGUCAUUGGAAACUGGGAAACUUGAGUGCAGAAGAGGAAAGUGGAAUUCCAUGUGUAGCGGUGAAAUGCGCAGAGAUAUGGAGGAACACCAGUGGCGAAGGCGACUUUCUGGUCUGUAACUGACGCUGAUGUGCGAAAGCGUGGGGAUCAAACAGGAUUAGAUACCCUGGUAGUCCACGCCGUAAACGAUGAGUGCUAAGUGUUAGGGGGUUUCCGCCCCUUAGUGCUGCAGCUAACGCAUUAAGCACUCCGCCUGGGGAGUACGACCGCAAGGUUGAAACUCAGAGAUCUUUCUAG